rnacentral:rRNA from 1 species
UACAGAGGGGGCAAGCGUUAUUCGGAAUUAUUGGACGUAAAGGGCGCGUAGGCGGCGAUUCAAGUGACGGGUGAAAUCCCUCGGCUUAACCGAGGAACUGCCUGUCAGACUGGAUUGCUUGAGGCCGGGAGAGGCGAGUGGAAUUCCCAGUGUAGCGGUGAAAUGCGUAGAUAUUGGGAGGAACACCAGUGGCGAAGGCGGCUCGCUGGACCGGUUCUGACGCUGAGGCGCGAAAGCGUGGGGAGCAAACAGG